AACGCACAUUGCACUUCCUGGUCCUCUGGGAAGUAUGUCUGUUUGAGUAUCAAUUUAACUCUCUACUAGCUCCUCCUCCUAAUAAAGAGUGAGAGAGUCUAGUGACUUGGGCCACAAUUUUUGACAAUCGUGGCCUUGAAUCAAUGGGGCGUUCAGCUCAAUGAGCUGUCCUUUGUCUAGUACACCAUGCUAUUCAAUUGUGUGGUCCGGAAAGAAAGGGACACGAGCUGACUUUUUUUUUACAUGUUGCUCAACCUUGAUCUCAAAUCAGACAAGAGUACCCGCUGAACUUAA
rnacentral:misc_RNA from 1 species